rfam:Nectria haematococca mpVI 77-13-4 chromosome 2 genomic scaffold NECHAsca_18_chr2_1_0, whole genome shotgun sequence.
CUCCGCAUGGUGUAGUUGGUUUAUCACGUUCGGCUGUAACUGGAAAAUUGCCACCGAAAGGUCCCUAGUUCGAUUCUGGGUGGGGAGA